rnacentral:rRNA from 1 species
GCAGUAGCCGCGGUAAUACGAGGGGGGCAAGCGUUGUUCGGAAUUAUUGGGCGUAAAGGGAGCGUAGGCGGUUUUGUAAGUCGUGUGUGAAAUCUUCGGGCUCAACCCGAAGUCUGCAUAUGAAACUGCAGGGCUUGAGUAUGGGAGAGGUGAGUGGAAUUCCUGGUGUAGCGGUGAAAUGCGUAGAUAUAUGGAGGAACACCGGUGGCGAAAGCGGCUCUCUGGCUUGUAACUGACGCUGAGGCUCGGAAGCGUGGGGGCAAACAGGAUUAGAUACCCCCGUAGUCCCUGUCUCUUAUACA